rnacentral:lncRNA from 1 species
AAAAUACACUCCAUCUCUCCUUCCCCAGACACACACACACACAAUUAGAAAACCCCACUUUUGGCCGGGGAUGGUGGCUCACGCCUGUAAUCCCAGCACUUUGGAAGGCUGAGGCGGGCAGAUCACUUGAGAUCAGGAGUUCAAAAGCAGUCUGACCAACAUGGUGAUACCCAUAUCUACUAAAGAUACUAAAAUUAGCUGGGCGUGGUAACGCAUGCUUGUAAUCUCAUCUACUCAGGAGGCUGAGGCAGGAAAAUUGCUUGAACCCUGGAGGCGGGGUUGCAGUGACCCGAGAUCGGCACUCCAGCCUGGCCCAGGCUUGCAUCCCUCCCUGCGAAGGUGUGUGUGAGAGCCGAAGCAAACCAAUAGGAAUCCUAGAGGGCGGAGAGGAGUGAGAGUCGGCCAAAGACAGCAGGGAGGGCGGGGUCAAGAUGCCACCUGGCCGAUGGACCCCGGGAAGCUGCAUGGAUCUCAAAUGGGCCAAGGGCCCCGGGCUUGGAAGGGCAGGUGGCGCCUAGACCCAGCGUUCCCGCUCCACAGGUCUCCAGGAGUUCGCCCGGCGUUUCCUCUGCAGCGGGUGCUACUCUAGGGUCUGCGACCUCCCGCUGGACUGCCCAGUUCAGGAUGUGACAGUGACUCGGGGCGACCAGGCUAUGUUUUCUUGCAUCGUAAACUUCCAGCUGCCAAAGGAGGAGAUCACCUAUUCCUGGAAGUUCGCAGGAGGAGCUCCGGACUCAGGACUUGUCCUAUUUCCGAGAUAUGCCGCGGGCCGAAGGAUACCUGGCGCGGAUCCGGCCGGCUCAGCUCACGCACCGCGGGACGUUCUCCUGCGUGAUCAAGCAAGACCAGCGCCCCCUGGCCCGGCUCUACUUCUUUCUUAACGUGACGGGCCCGCCCCCGCGGGCGGAGACAGAGUUGCAGGCCUCGUUCCGGGAAGUGCUGCGCUGGGCGCCGCGGGAUGCCGAGCUGAUCGAGCCCUGGAGGCCCAGCCUGGGCGAGCUGCUGGCCAGGCCCGAGGCUCUGACGCCCAGCAAUCUGUUCCUGCUUGCAGUCCUCGGGGCCCUCGCAUCAGCGAGUGCGACAGUGUUGGCGUGGAUGUUCUUUCGAUGGUACUGCAGUGGCAACUAACAAAGAUGGAGUCUCAUUCUGUCACCCAGGCUGGAGUGCAGUGGCACGAUCUCAGCUCACUGAAACCUCUGCCUCCCAGGUUCAAGCGAUUGUCCUGCCUCAGCCUCCUGAGUAGCUGGGAUUACAGGCACAUGCCACCAUGCCUGGCUAAUUUUUUUUGUAUUUUUAGUAGAGAUGGGGUUUCACCAUGUUGGCCACGCUGGUCUCGAACUCGUGACCUCAAGUGGUCUCCCUGCCUCGGCCUCCCAAAGUGCUGGGAUUACAGGUGUGAGCCACCGCGCUCAGCCAAAUUGUACACUUUGAGUGAGUGAACUCUGUGCGAGAUAAAUUGGAGACAAAUAUGGACAACUCUCCCAAGGAAAUUUGCUAUUAACCGAAAUAGAAAUGGAACAGUUGUUUACAGGGAAACUGAGGUCAAGAGUGGGGGUCUUAAAAGUGGGAGAGUAACAAUAUGUUCAGAUGCUGAUGGGAAAGGCUCCGAAGCGAAAGGAGAACUGACGGAGGAUCAGGUGGGAAGAACUGCUGGAGUGAAGUCUUUGAGCAGACAAAGAGGACAUAGGGUCUGGUGCCCUGAUGGAAGAGGUUGGCACUGGCUUGGAGCACAGACAGGUCACCCUCAGCAACAGGAAGAAGGUGGAGUGUAUGGACACAGGGGCAAGUGAGUGGGAAGACGUGGAGAUGGGGACUCCAGCAGAAGUUUUCUUUUUUAACCCCUAUUUUCUCAGUGAGAUAGGAAGCCAGCUAAGAGGGAGGGGAGGAGGUGCUGGAGGUUUGAGGAGAAAAGGGAUGUGUUACCCUUCUAAGUAGACGGACCAGAGACAAAAGCACCAUCUGCAGUACCUGCCAGUGUGCGGCAGGUGGCAGGUGCUUGGUAAGUACCCGUGAAUGAGUUGAGUAAUUUAACCCUCACACCAACCCUGCCCCAGGGGAUUAAUAAUCCCUGUUUUCAAAAGAGGGAACCCCAGGUUCCAAGGAAGGAGAGUGUCUUGUCCAGGUUCAAACGGCUAGCACCCAGCACUGAGCCCAGCGUCCCCAAUUCUCAAUCAUCCAUUCCCCUUAGUUCUCAAAAAGGUGGAGGCUGGGGGAAAAUAAAUAAAAUUCUUUA